rnacentral:sRNA from 1 species
GUUCUCAAUCAAGUUGAUUGGAAUGCCUGGCUCUACUCUCCUGGACUGCCUCCCAUAAAACCCAAUUAUGAUAUGACUCUGACAAAUGCUUGUAUUGCCUUAAGUCAAAGAUGGAUUACUGCCAAAGAAGAUGAUUUAAAUUCAUUCAAUGCCACAGACCUGAAAGAUCUCUCUUCUCAUCAGUUGAAUGAGUUUUUAGCACAGACGCUCCAGACGGCACCUCUUCCAUUGGGGCACAUAAAGCGAAUGCAAGAGGUGUACAACUUCAAUGCCAUUAACAAUUCUGAAAUACGAUUCAGGUACAUCAUUUUAACUUGUCUCUGUGGAAGAAAGCAGAAAACUCCUUUGAAAGGUGGAGAAAGGGAAUGCAGAGUAUGAGACGUACUUGAGUCUUGAGAAGUCCUUGUCAAACUGACUGCUUCUAUAUAAAUACUUAUAGUGGUAUUUAAGGAAUAGUUGCAUUGUGUAAUCUGAUAGUAUUAAUCUUUUUGUUAGACUUCGCUCUAAACCUCUCUUGCCUUAAAAGAAAAAAAAAA